UACGUAGGGGGCAAGCGUUGUCCGGAAUCAUUGGGCGUAAAGAGCGCGUAGGCGGCCCGGUAAGUCCGCUGUGAAAGUCCAGGGCUCAACCCUGGGAUGCCGGUGGAUACUGUCGGGCUCGAGUCCGGAAGAGGAGUGUGGAAUUCCUGGUGUAGCGGUGAAAUGCGCAGAUAUCAGGAGGAACACCGGUGGCGAAGGCGGCGUCCUGGACCGGCAUUGACGCUGAGGCGCGAAAGCCAGGGGAGCAAACAGG
rnacentral:rRNA from 1 species